AGGCACGUGUGAAGAGCUAAAGAGAAGCAUGAGAAGAAUAAAAGAGUAUAAAUAGGGAUAUUAGAGAGGAAUUAUAGAGAUUAUCCUGCGUGAUCAUUGAUGUUGUGAGGAGAAUUAGGGCUUGUGUGCUAUGUUCUUGAUGAUAAGAGAUGAGCAUUGUAACUCCGAUCUUAUCAAUAUAGGGUUUUGAUUCAUUGUAAUUGGGAUUUACGGAUAAUAAAUACAAAGGUUUAUGCGUAAGUUCUUAUCAACUUGUAAUGGUCUUCUGGUUGCACCAUAUGCUCAUAGAUCUAGUGUAUUUGGUACAACUGCUUAAAAGUUUUUGAUUUACUCUAGUAUAUUUAACGGAGAUUUGCCUAUUUUUCCUUAAGGGUGUGUUUAAUGUUUUCAUGUUGAAACAAUGAAUGAAGUUUCAUGUAAUUUUAAAUGAAUGAGCAAUCAUAAUGAAACCGAUCUACUUUGAAGUUUGAACAUACAAUAGAAUUGACUCAUAUGCUUAUAAUGGACU
rnacentral:sRNA from 1 species